rnacentral:rRNA from 1 species
AUUGAACGCUAGCGGGAUGCUUUACACAUGCAAGUCGAACGGCAGCGCGGACUUCGGUCUGGCGGCGAGUGGCGAACGGGUGAGUAAUGUAUCGGAACGUGCCCAGUAGCGGGGGAUAACUACGCGAAAGCGUAGCUAAUACCGCAUACGCCCUACGGGGGAAAGCAGGGGAUCGUAAGACCUUGCAAUCUUGGAGCGGCCGAUAUCGGAUUAGCUAGUUGGUGAGGUAACGGCUCACCAAGGCGACGAUCCGUAGCUGGUUUGAGAGGACGACCAGCCACACUGGGACUGAGACACGGCCCAGACUCCUACGGGAGGCAGCAGUGGGGAAUUUUGGACAAUGGGGGCAACCCUGAUCCAGCCAUCCCGCGUGUGCGAUGAAGGCCUUCGGGUUGUAAAGCACUUUUGGCAGGAAAGAAACGUCGCGGGCUAAUACCCCGUGGAACUGACGGUACCUGCAGAAUAAGCACCGGCUAACUACGUG